rnacentral:rRNA from 1 species
ACAAGCGGUGGAGCAUGUGGUUUAAUUCGAUGCAACGCGAAGAACCUUACCUGGGCUUGACAUCCCAAGAAUCCCCUGGAAACAGGGGAGUGCCCUUCGGGGAGCUUGGAGACAGGUGCUGCAUGGCUGUCGUCAGCUCGUGUCGUGAGAUGUUGGGUUAAGUCCCGCAACGAGCGCAACCCUUGCCUUUAGUUGCCAUCAUUCAGUUGGGCACUCUAGAGGGACUGCCGGUGUCAAACCGGAGGAAGGUGGGGAUGACGUCAAGUCCUCAUGGCCUUUAUGCCCAGGGCUACACACGUGCUACAAUGGGCGGUACAAAGAGCAGCGAGCUCGCGAGAGUAAGCAAAUCUCAAAAAGCCGUCCUCAGUUCGGAUUGGAGUCUGCAACUCGACUCCAUGAAGUCGGAAUCGCUAGUAAUCGUGGAUCAGAAUGCCACGGUGAAUACGUUCCCGGGCCUU